GGGGUUGUGGCUCAGUGGUAGAGCGCUCACCUAGCAUGCCUGAGGCCCUGGGUUCGAUCCUCAGCACCA
rnacentral:tRNA from 1 species